ACUCCUACGGGAGGCAGCAGUGGGAAUAUUGCACAAUGGGGAAAGCCUCGAUGCAGCCAUGCCGCGUGUGUGAAGAAGGCCUUCGGGUUGUAAAGCACUUUCAGUAGGGAGGAAGGUAGUGUAGUUAACACCUGCACUAUUUGACGUUACCUACAGAAGAAGCACCGGCUAACUCCGUGCCAGCAGCCGCGGUAAUACGGAGGGUGCGAGCGUUAAUCGGAAUUACUGGGCGUAAAGCGCAUGCAGGCGGCCUGUUAAGUCAGAUGUGAAAGCCCGGGCUUAAGCCUCGGAAUUGCAUUUGAAACUGGCAGGCUAGAGUCUUGUAGA
rnacentral:rRNA from 1 species